UACGAAGGGGGCUAGCGUUGUUCGGAAUUACUGGGCGUAAAGCGUGCGCAGGCGGCUUUGCAAGACAGAUGUGAAAUCCCCGGGCUCAACCUGGGAACUGCAUUUGUGACUGCAUGGCUGGAGUGCGGCAGAGGGGGAUGGAAUUCCGCGUGUAGCAGUGAAAUGCGUAGAUAUGCGGAGGAACACCGAUGGCGAAGGCAAUCCCCUGGGCCUGCACUGACGCUCAUGCACGAAAGCGUGGGGAGCAAACAGGG
rnacentral:rRNA from 1 species